rnacentral:rRNA from 1 species
AUGAACGCUGGCGGCGUGCCUAAUACAUGCAAGUCGAGCGAACAGACGAGGAGCUUGCUCCUCUGACGUUAGCGGCGGACGGGUGAGUAACACGUGGAUAACCUACCUAUAAGACUGGGAUAACUUCGGGAAACCGGAGCUAAUACCGGAUAAUAUAUUGAACCGCAUGGUUCAAUAGUGAAAGACGGUUUUGCUGUCACUUAUAGAUGGAUCCGCGCCGCAUUAGCUAGUUGGUAAGGUAACGGCUUACCAAGGCAACGAUGCGUAGCCGACCUGAGAGGGUGAUCGGCCACACUGGAACUGAGACGCGGUCCAGACUCCUACGGGAGGCAGCAGUAGGGAAUCUUCCGCAAUGGGCGAAAGCCUGACGGAGCAACGCCGCGUGAGUGAUGAAGGUCUUCGGAUCGUAAAACUCUGUUAUUAGGGAAGAACAAAUGUGUAAGUAACUAUGCACGUCUUGACGGUACCUAAUCAGAAAGCCACGGCUAACUACGU